UUUAAAGUCUAACCUGCCCAAUGAGGAGUUCAAUGGCCGCGGUAUUUUGACCGUGCAAAGGUAGCAUAAUCAUUAGUUUUUUAAUUGGAAGCUGGAAUGAAUGGUUGGACGAGAAAAUAGCUGUCUCAAUUUAAUUUACUAUAGAACUUUAUUUUUAAGUUAGAAAGCUUAAAUAAUUUUAAAAGACGAGAAGACCCUAUAGAGUUUUAUAUUUUUAUGUUUAUUUAUUAUUGGUAUCUUAAUAUUUAUAUGCUAGAAAAUAUUUUAUUGGGGUGAUAGAAAAAUUAGAGAAACUUUUUUUUAUAAAAAAACAUUAAUGUAUGAUUAUUUGAUCCGUUAAUUACGAUUAUAAGAUUAAAUUACCUUAGGGAUAACAGCGUAAUUUUUUUUGAGAGUUCAUAUCGAAAAAAGAGUUUGCGACCUCGAUGUUGGAUUAAAAUUAACUUUUGGUGUAGGAGCUAAAAAAGGGUUAGGUCUGUUCGACCUUUAAAAUUUUACAUGAUCUGAGUUUAAACCGGCGUGAGCCAGGUUGGUUUCUAUCUUUAAAUAGUUUUUAUAUUUUAGUACGAAAGGACCAGGUAUAGAUAAUAUUUAUUUAAUUUUUGAAUAUUAGUA
rnacentral:rRNA from 1 species